rnacentral:lncRNA from 1 species
CCUGUAGCCUUUUGGAAAGGGAAGGAGCACUUACUGAAUUCACUGCGAAGUGACAGAGAGCCUUUCCUUGGCCAGGUUGGACAGGUACCUGUGCCCUCUUUUCAACUAGUUCUCAACCUUGGCCUCUAAAGACUUAGGCACUAAGAUGGUUUUGAACAUCACGUCGGCGUCGCUAGGAUGACUCCAGCUCCACUUAGAAUGCCUGCCUGACAAAGCUCAAGAUGCCGGGAGAAUCUAGCCAACGCCAGAAGAGAGUCUCUGCUCCUCAGUGUCUCUAGGAGAAGAGGAGCAUAACUUCCAGAAACUCUGCUUAGUGUCCCCAGGGAGUUCCCAGGCCAGCGAUGGAACCCACGUCACAGCAGGGACAGUGCUGUGUCCUUAGUCUACUGAGCCCCAGAGGGACUCCUGUAGAGAAGUGUUUUCAUAGUCAGUGGACUGACUACCCAGAUGUGGAGUGGGGAACACAGACCUGGUUCCUGUCUUCAAGCAACUCAGGAUCUAAUCUGCAGACAAGACAUGGAUUCAUCCAAAAGUGUGGAGCACUGUGAGUCUGUGUGGCAGCGUCCACGAUGAAGAUGACACAGACUCGGUGGUGGGGAGCAGCAACAGCCACCAGGACGAGGAGGCUGCAGAAUCUUGCUUUGGGAGGAAAGGAUCUUGCUUCAGGAGCCUGAGGAUAAGUUUGUCCUCUGCGAGCUUGGCUAGACUAAUCCCCUGGUGGCCGCACAACAGGGUGCACCCAGCCACUGAGCCAGAUGAAGGUACUGUGGAACCUGACUCAGUACACUCAGGCAUGAACGAUGAUUCUGGUUCAUUCAGUGCUCCAGAUUUCAGAACAAACUCUACAGGUGCUAAGCCGUAUCUCUCUUCUAGUGCAUGGUGCAAAUUCAAAUGAACUAACUCGGAGUUCCGGUCGUGGCGCAGUGGUUAAGGACUCCGACUAGGAACCAUGAGGUUGCGAGUUGGAUCUCUGGCCUUGCUCAGUGGGUUAAGGAUCCGGGGUUGCCGUGAGCUGUGGUGUUGGCCACAGAUGCGGUUCGAAUCCCGAGUUGCAGUGGCUGUGGCGUAGGCCAGUGGCUACAACUCUGAUUAGACCCCUCUCCUGGGAGCCUGCGCAUGCCAAGGGAAGCGGGCCUAGAAAAGGCAAAAUGACCAAAACCCAACCAACCAACCAAAACCCAAAUUGAAUCACUCCCUGGGCACUUUCACAACCAUGAAAAUAAUGGUUCGUUUAAACUCAACAUUUGGUUCCUGGUUAAUAGCAGAGAUGCCCUCACUCAUGUUUUGACAUUUACUAAUAGUUGAUAUUUGGGCUAGUUGUGCUGGAUCUCUCCAUGGAACCACAUUUCCCAACUUGAAAACAAUACUAGACGCGAUUUAGAACAAGGUCAUAUGAACAAGACAUGGUGAACAGAUAUCACAGAGAGCUCCCGUAAGCCAUUCCUCCAAUGUCCACCAUUGACAACGUCCAGCACGGAAUGGGGAACAUGUGGUGCCCUGAGCGGCAAAAGAGUCAUACCAUUUUAGUCAGUGAGAAGUUCCCCGUUUACAUUCAGAUUCAUUUUUGUGCUGUGACGUUAGUUGAGGUUGGACACCUGCACAAUGUUAGGAGUCCCUGGUAUGUUAUUACCAUAGAGGACGUGUACACUGCCGUUUGUAGCAGCGGGUUAUUCCCAAUAGCCAAAAGGUGAAACCACUCCCAAAAGACAAGAAGAGAUCAGGGGACAGAUCCAAUGUGCCGUGUACCCAGAAGAGAACAGUAUUCUGCCAGAAACAAAAUUAAACUUUUAAAUAGGUGACCACAUGGAUGAUUCCAAAGAAAACGCAGUUUUAACAUGAGUGAGGAGUUCCCGUGGUGGCAUGGCAGAAGUGACUCCGACUAGGAAGCCUGAGAUUGUGGAUUGGAUCCCUGGCCUCGCUCAGUGGGGUAAAGAUCCGGUGAUGCCGGGAUCUGUGGUGUAGGUCGCAGAUGUGCCUGGGAUCCUGCCUUGCUGUGGCUCUGGCGGAAGCCGGCAGCUACAGCUCCGAUUAGACCCCUAGCCUGGGAACCACCAUAUG